rnacentral:rRNA from 1 species
AUCGAACGCUGGCGGCAUGCUUUACACAUGCAAGUCGAACGGUAACAGGCCUUCGGGCGCUGACGAGUGGCGAACGGGUGAGUAAUGCAUCGGAACGUGCCCAGUCGUGGGGGAUAACGCAGCGAAAGCUGUGCUAAUACCGCAUACGAUCUGCGGAUGAAAGCGGGGGACCUUCGGGCCUCGCGCGAUUGGAGCGGCCGAUGUCAGAUUAGGUAGUUGGUGGGGUAAAGGCUCACCAAGCCAACGAUCUGUAGCUGGUCUGAGAGGACGACCAGCCACACUGGGACUGAGACACGGCCCAGACUCCUACGGGAGGCAGCAGUGGGGAAUUUUGGACAAUGGGCGCAAGCCUGAUCCAGCAAUGCCGCGUGCAGGAAGAAGGCCUUCGGGUUGUAAACUGCUUUUGUACGGAGCGAAAAGGCUCCCUCUAAUACAGGGGGCUCAUGACGGUACCGUAAGAAUAAGCACCGGCUAACUACGUGCCAGCAGCCGCCGUAAGAC